AGGACGAACGCUGGCGGCGUGCUUAACACAUGCAAGUCGAGCGAGGCCCUUCCUUCGGGAAGGUGACCUAGCGGCGAACGGGUGAGUAACACGUGGGCAACCUGCCCUUGGCUCUGGGAUAAGCCCGAGAAAUCGGGUCUAAUACCGGAUACGACACGAGACGGCAUCAUCAUCGUGUGGAAGAAUUUCGGCCAAGGAUGGGCCCGCGGCCUAUCAGCUAGUUGGUGAGGUAAUGGCUCACCAAGGCGACGAC
rnacentral:rRNA from 1 species